CUAAGUUUGUUUUGGUAUAAGCUUUCAUGUGUAUGUGUAUCUGAAGAAGUGUGCAUACACAUGGAAGUUUAUACCAGAACAAACCUAG